rnacentral:rRNA from 1 species
GCUUGCAAGGGCGUGUGGUGGAUGCCUUGGCAGACAGGACCGAUGAAGGACGUGUGGGGCCGCGAUAGGCCUCGGGGAGCCGCCGACAGGGCUUUGAUCCGAGGAUUUCCGAAUGGGGGAACCCGCCAGCCGUCAUGGGCUGGCACCGGCUUGGCCGGGGGGUACGCAGGGAAGUGAAACAUCUCAGUACCUGCAGGAGAGGACACUCCGUGAGUAGUGGCGAGCGAAAGCGGAUCAGGCUAAACCGUGCGCGUGUGAUACCCGUCGGGGGUUGCGUGUGCGGUGUUGUGGGAGCGUGUGCGCCGGUCCCGACGGGCCGGCCGGCGGUGAGAAAUCCAUGUGCUAGGGGAACCGGGUUGGAUACCGGGCCGUAGAGGGUGAUGGCCCCGUACCCGAAUGCGCGUGGACCGUCGAUC